UGCAGUCGACGGUAGCAUUUCUAGCUUGCUAGAAGAUGACGAGUGGCGGACGGGUGAGUAAUACUUAGGAAUAUGCCUUUGUGUGGGGGAUAACUAUUGGAAACGAUAGCUAAUACCGCAUAACGUCUUCGGACCAAAGGGGGCUUCGGCUCCCGCGCAAAGAGUAGCCUAAGCGAGAUUAGCUUGUUGGUGAGGUAAAGGCUCACCAAGGCGACGAUCUCUAGCUGUUCUGAGAGGAAGAUCAGCCACACUGGAACUGAGACACGGUCCAGACUCCUACGGGAGGCAGCAGUGGGGAAUAUUGCACAAUGGGGGAAACCCUGAUGCAGCCAUGCCGCGUGUGUGAAGAAGGCCUUCGGGUUGUAAAGCACUUUCAGUUGUGAGGAAAGGUUNNUGGUUAAUACCCAUUAGCUGUGACGUUAGCAACAGAAGAAGGACCGGCUAACUCCGUGCCAGCAGCCGCGGUAAUACGGAGGGUCCGAGCGUUAAUCGGAAUUACUGGGCGUAAAGCGCACGCAGGCGGUUUGUUAAGCUAGAUGUGAAAGCCCUGGGCUCAACCUGGGAAUUGCAUUUAGAACUGGCAGGCUAGAGUUUUGGAGAGGGGAGUGGAAUUCCAGGUGUAGCGGUGAAAUGCGUAGAUAUCUGGAGGAACAUCAGUGGCGAAGGCGACUCCCUGGUCAGUAACUGACGCUCAUGUGCGAAAGUGUGGGUAGCGAACAGGAUUAGAUACCCUGGUAGUCCACACCGUAAACGCUGUCUACUAGCUGUUUGUGGAUUUAAUCCGUGAGUAGCGAAGCUAACGCGAUAAGUAGACCGCCUGGGGAGUACGGCCGCAAGGUUAAAACUCAAAUGAAUUGACGGGGGCCCGCACAAGCGGUGGAGCAUGUGGNUUUAAUUCGAUGCAACGCGAGAACCUUACCUACUCUUGACAUACUA
rnacentral:rRNA from 1 species